AUUACUGAUGUAUAACACGAUAUUCAGGUAAAGAUUAUCAGGAGUAACUGACUGAGAUAACAUCAUGCACCACUCUGACCA